AAGGUACAAAAAGCGUUGUAUUUUCCGGGAUUGUAAGACUUAUUUUAUUUUACUAAAAGAAAGUGGGAAAAUGUAAACAAUUUUUUGGCUGUCAUUACAGGAGCUUAAUCGUCAAUAAUAAUGGACAAAUUGACUGUUAAUUAUACAAAAACUUAAACGACCAUCAUCAUUUAUCUUUUCCAACAUUAUUGCUGGAUUACACUUCACAUUUCUGUAAAAAAAAAUGAAGACAAUGAAAAAUUGUAUUGGCAGUUUUAAAUUUGUUCCUGUGAUACAAUGUUGUCCAUCCAUUUUGUUUUGGAAAAAAAAACAGAUGCAGAUAAAGCAGAUUAGUCUGAGUACAUGUACUUUAAACAUGUUAAAAGCUGUAAUUGUGAGAUGGAGGAUGGAAGAAAGCAAACAGAAGCAAUAAAUACAAGUACCAAUUAAUGUAUGAAGUGCUCCUUUUAUAAAAAUCCAGGAAAAGAAAACCAUGAGCAAGCUUCAAAAGAUAAAGUUGAUGAUAAUAAAUCCGAAUAGCUGAUGAUUAUCUUUACUUUUUCCAUGCUGGAAGGAGCUUGGUGUGUUUUUGGAGGAAUUUGGUGAAUUAUGUUCUACUACAGAAGAGCAUGUAGUAAAUAUAUUGAAGAGGAAACAUCCAAAGUAGUAGAUCUGUGUUGGCUACACUUCUGACAAUUUUAUAUGUUUCCAAUGUCUGGAUCAUUUUAUUUUUAACUACAAAUGGAUCAAUGUGUCCAUUUAAGGGGUUGCAAUAUUUAUGUCUAAUCAAUGUAAAAUGUUUGCAAUGUCAUUGGAAAUCAGAGUUUUUUUGUUUUUUUUUUGUAUUUGAGAUUAAUCAGAAGUACAAUUGAUUUGCAGAUUUUAAUUAACAUCUACAGUUAAAUCUUUUACAGAUUAAUCUUUCUUUCCAAAUUCCAGUGGUUUUCUUUGUAGUUUUUAUAUUGGUGUCAAAUUAAAUAAUUUAAUGAAAAGGUAAAAAUUGCUAGUAUUUCAAUUAUGACAAAAAUAGAUAGUCAACUUUAAAAAGUUCUGUUACUUUUUCAAAACAUUAUAUAUUGAUCCAACUAAAUGUCAAGUUAUUGGUAGUGUGUUGUAUCAUGGUCAAUUUUAACUUUUUCAUCAGUAGGGGAAAAACUGCAAUUUCCAUGUCAGAAAAAAGUAUGACAAUAAACUUUAAAGAUUUCUGUAACUUUUUCAAAUAAACUUGCAUAUUCUUAAAACUCUACAGUUUACUUUAUUACAUAUUAUUCUUACUAAAUGCUAGGUUAUAUAAUAGUUUGUUAUAUUGGUGUCAACUGUAAAGAUUUAAUUGAGAGGUAAAAAAAUGGAAAUUUUUCAUGUCAGAAAAAGUUAUGAUAUGAACUUUACAAAUGUCUGUAACUUUUUGAAAUAAACUAGCAUAUUCUUAAAACUCUACAGUUUACUUAAUUACAUAUCAAUCUUACUAAAUGCUAGGUUACAUGGUCGUUUGUUGUUUUGGUGUCAACUGUAAAGAUUUAAUUGAGAGGUAAAAAAAAUGGAAAUUUUUCAUGUCGGAAAAAAUUAUGAUAGUCAACUUUAAAAAUUUCUGUAACUUUUCAAAUAAACUUGCAUAUUCUUAAAACUCUACAGUUUACUGAAUUACCUAUUAUUCUUACUAAAUGCUAGGUUAUAUUGUUGUUUGUUGUAUUGGUGUCAACUGUAAAGAUUUAAUUGA